rnacentral:rRNA from 1 species
CCUACGGGGGGCAGCAGUGGGGAAUAUUGCACAAUGGGCGCAAGCCUGAUGCAGCGACGCCGCGUGGGGGAUGACGGCCUUCGGGUUGUAAACUCCUUUCGGUAGGGACGAAGCCACAUUUUUUUGUGUGUGGUGACGGUACCUUUGUUAAGAAGCACCGGCUAACUACGUGCCAGCAGCCGCGGUAAUACGUAGGGGGCGAGCGUUGUCCGGAAUUACUGGGCGGAAAGAGCUCGUAGGUGGUUUGUUGCGUCGUCUGUGAAAUUCCGGGGCUUAACUUCGGGGUGGCAGGCGAUACGGGCAUAACUAGAGUGCUGUAGGGGAGACUGGAAUUCCUGGUGUAGCGGUGGAAUGCGCAGAUAUCAGGAGGAACACCGAUGGCGAAGGCAGGUCUCUGGGCAGUAACUGACGCUGAGGAGCGAAAGCAUGGGGAGCGAACAGGAUUAGAUACCCUAGUAGUC